rnacentral:lncRNA from 1 species
UUUGGACCCGAGGAGAUACCAUAUCUGGGGCCCUUGAGCCCCUAUGCUGGGGCUUACUUUCACCCUGUGGAGUGUACUUUCAUUUUCAAUAAAUCUCUGCUGUUGUUGCUUCAUUCCUUUCUUGAUUUGUUUGCACAUUUUGUCCAUUUAUUUGUUCAAGAUUCCAAGAACCUGGACACCUUCCACCGGUAACAUUCUCAUCAGAGGGACAUCAGAGCACAUUCUCUCUCUCUCUCCCUCCCUCGUAAGGACCUAGGAAAAGGUGGCCAACUACGAGGCAGAAGAAAGCUUCAUCAGAACCUGACCCUGUUGGCUCCCUGAUCUUGGACUUCCGUCUCUGGAACUGUGAAGUCUAAACCACUCAGUCUAUGGCAUCUGUGUUAUGGCAGCAGGAGCUGAGACAUCCUGCAUCAUGCAGAUGAGGAAACAGAGGUGCAGAGAGGUGAAGCAGAUUGGCCGAGUUAGAACAAUGAGAAGGCAGGAGAGCUGGGAUUUGAAUUGAGGAUCCUGGUGACAGGGAGGCAGAAGUCAGCAAGGAGAGAAGAUGCCAUCCUGCUGGCUUGGAAGACAGAGGAGGGGCCAUGAGCCAAGGAAUGCAGGCAGCCUCCAGGAAAUGCAGAAGGCAAGCAGACAGAUUCUCCCCUGGAGUGUCCAGAAGGAGAAGGCCCGUUUCAGACUUCAGAACUCCUGAACUUUAAGAUAAUAAAUGUGUCCUGUUUUAAGCCAC